UACUAAGUUGGUUAAUGAGAUGGUCUAUUACGAACACAUCGAGGUUAACAAGCUCCCAGAUAAGGCAAUAACAGUUUCUACAGCAAUUUCUUGAAGAAAUACAGGCUGCUCCACAAGAUCAGAAGUACCAAUGACUGAGCUAUUGGAACUAGGUGAGAUAAUGGCACUUGCGAUUUUGAUCAUUUUUUGUACUAUAACCUUGUUCAUCUAUCAUAUGUUUGUUUUUAUGUUUC